UUGAUUGUUGAAUGGUCUAUAUAUAUGUCCCUUGGUGGUAACAUGAAGCAUGAACAAAUUGUAUAGCUUAGUUAGGGAGCUACCUUCAGGUGAGUUUGAAGGAACGCAGCUAUUGAACAAGUUGCAGACGAAAUGGGAGAUCAGCAAGAUCCAUCAUCUGGCGACCCCCAUGCCGUUGUUGUGGACAUCCCUUCCUCCUCCGAAGUCUUGGAGCGCGACCUAGCUGCAUGGCGCCAACACCACGGCGGUGGCUCUCAAUCUUCCACCCUUGCCAUCGGCAAGGUUUAUGACCUGACCCGCAACGUCGACGAGCACGAGUACGAUCCGCACUAUGUCUCCAUCGGCCCCUACCACCGGAACAGGAACCCGAACAUCGUCAGGAAGAACGAUAAGCUGGCAAGCCUCGACAGCAUUCUUAGCCGGGCGAGCCCCGGCACUACGGUGCAGACGUACCUGGCCGAGUUGGCUCCCAUCGAAGACCGUGCCAGGAGCUUCUAUGCCCACAUGUUCACUAACAUGAGCAGCAUGGAGUUCCUGCACAUGCUGCUUCUCGACGCCUGCUACGUGAUCGACUGGUUCGGCGACUUGAACACCGACAACAGUUCGCCUCCUGCCAAUGGAUCCGCACAGAGCAGCCAAGCACCGGCAGCAGGCGACGGUUCGCCUGUUGCCAAUGGGCACGGGCAAGAGGGUCAACAAGAGAGAAGCACAGCAUGGGCGGCACCAGGGGGCGGGAACAAGCUGGAGAUAGCAUGGAUGGUGCGGGAUGUGCUGUACCUCGCAGAGAAUCAGAUACCAUUUUUCGUCAUCGACAAGAUCCACAGUCUAACCUUUUCAGGUAGCCGAGCUCCGGUGGUGAAGGCGAUGGCAGGGCACAUCUCCGGCGUCCUGGAGAAGCAGCAAUACUUCACGGGGGCGGUGGAGGACGACGCUCGGCCGCCAGGCAACCUGCUGCACCUUCUGCACAUGCACUUCUCGAAACCUGCUGCUACUGCAUCGCCGUCGUCACGAACCGGCGAGCCUGUAGGCAGGUGCCGCACUGCCAUGGAGUACCACAUCAACGGCGUGAACUUCAAGAGCCGCCUCGUCGGCGGCAUCGAAGGAACCCGCAGCAUCCUCGAGGUGACGCUGGACAGAGCCAGUGGAACGCUGGUGGUGCCCCGGCUGAACAUCGACGGCAAUACAUGGCGGAUCCUGCGCAACUUGAUGGCGCUCGAGCAACAGAACCCCGCUGUCGGGAGCCACGUGACGGCGUACUGCAUCUUCGUGUCCCAUUUGGCGUGCACCGCGACGGACGUGGAGUUCCUGUCGAAGAGAGGGGUCAUCGACCACAGCCUUGGGAACCACGGCGAGGCCGCCGCCUGCUUCUCCGACCUCUGCAAGGGGAUCCAGUUUGACGCCGACGACCCGGGCUCCAACUACCUGAGGGGGACGUGCCAGGAGCUCGCCGAACUGUACCGCAGCCGCCGGCGACGGUGGGUGGCGCUGCUACUGCACAAGUACUCCGCCAACCCGUGGCUUGUCUUUGGGCUCAUGGCGGCAGCACUCGGGCUAGUUUGCGCCAUCGUGCAAGCAAUUUACUCUGUUUUGAGUUACAAUCAGGGAAAAUCGAAGUAGAAAUUAAAUCUAGAGGUGUGCCAGGGUUGAGCGAGUUUCAGGAGUGCUGUAUACCUGCAUGUAUAAAAGGCUCUCGUACCACAUAAUUUCUCAUAUUCCUUUUUCCACGUUUUGGUUUAUAACUCAUAAGAAUAAAGUGAUCGCUUGAAGCCUUGAA